AAAUUAAAAAUUCUUUGCAUAAUGCUAAUGAUAUUUAACUUUUGAAUUUUAAACACAGGUAAAAGAAUGUGUUGUGAACAAUGCAAGGUCCUACAUAUGUGACGGCAAGUUCUUUCAAGAAUGGUGGGGAAAAUGAUAUACAGCAAAUUUAAAGGAGGUUUACCAGUAGGUCAUUUGUACUGUGGGAAAUGUGGAGGUAAAAGUGAAGCAGACUUUGCCUUCAUUAUGAAUAUCAACCUUUUUCCGAGUGGCACUGAAUGAAAUUCAAGAGGAUUGCAAUUGUACACAUUUGAUCAGGUGACUAAGGAAAGGGGACACUGUCUCUUGAAAAUCAGAUCUACAAUUUACUUGUCCAGAGUUAUUGGGAGCCUGAUUACACAGGAUGGAUGUUAAUAUCAUCCAAGAAUUUGGAGACAUGUGCAACUUGAUGAAGACUUUACAAAACAAAAAUAGCUUAAUUAACACAUACUUAAACUUACAACCUCCUGUCAGAUGAGCUGACUGAUAUUUCUGCAAGGAAUCAAUUGUACCAUAUACCAAAGGCGUAU